AACUUUAACAUUCCUCAUCACUCUUCCAUGUUUCCCUCAAAUCAAUGACCAAACCAACCCAACCUUAGGUCCCUAGCCACUACCGCUGCUACUACCACUACUACCACCAAUCCACCACACCCACCACUACCACUGCCACCCCUCAAUCGAAAAUUAGUUCCCUAGUUGUAACCUUCCUCCCUGUUUGUCGACCAAGUUCAAAAGUAAUAGCAGCAGCCAUUUCGCGAGCUCAUCGAGGUAAAGGCACAAGCACAAUAUGGCCAUGUCUCCCCAAGAUGUGUCUUCACAAUUAGUUAAAUCAACUGGUGAUUGUGCUGGGAUUAACAAUGAGGAAGAGUUGGAAUAUUCUAUUGGAGAUGAAGAACUAAGGAGUGAAGAAAAGAGGUUAGAAGGUGAUAUAUAAGCACCCGCUCAAAGUUUGAAUCAAGAGGCUACUCAAGGUGAUAGUCUAGAUACUUUUAGAAAGAAAAAGAGAGCCAGAAAGUCCAAAACCUGGGUUGAUUCAAAGAUGUGGAAGUUUAGCCUAAAAAAACACUUUACUCGGUAUGUAUGAAUUGCAGAGCUAAAUUCAAGAAGACAAAAAUUGGUACAACUUCAAGUUUGUUAGGGAAUCUUAAAAAUGGUCCUAAACGAUUGGAGAAACUAAAAAAAUCAGAGGCAAAAUAGCAAAAUAUUAAUUUUCCAAUUGCAGA